GUAAGAUAUUGGGUAACUUGAGGUUCCAAGUCUUCAAGUGCUGCAUAAAGCGCAAGCAUUAAUUCUUAAGUAUUAUUAUGGAAUAAAUUGAAUUCUGUUAGGUUGCCUUUUGUAAUCCUUUUUUUCCCCUCUGCUUAAUCAUUACAGGUAAUUUGAAAAUAAAUACUGCUGUGAGUGAACCAAUAGAAAUAUUUUACUGUCAUUGAACAGAAAAGUAAAAGCCUAAUUACCGUGCGGAUUGAACAUUCUUCUGCGGUGUAUCUCAGGGAGCUGACCCCAGAAGAUACAGAAACUAAGGCGUUCGACCUCUUUUAUUGCAACUGCUCCCAUCCUUCCUGCCCGCCCUACCCGCCGGAAACUUAAAAACCCACGCCUGUUGG
rnacentral:lncRNA from 1 species